rnacentral:rRNA from 1 species
GAAACCAACAGGGAUUGCCCUAGUAACGGCGAGUGAAGCGGCAACAGCUCAAAUUUGAAAUCUGGCCCUUGGGUCCGAAUUGUAAUUUGUAGAGGAUGUUUUUGGUGCGGUAUCUUCCGAGUUCCUUGGAACAGGACGCCUUAGAGGGUGAGAGCCCCGUACGGUUGAAUGCCUAGCCUUUGUAAAACUCCUUCGACGAGUCGAGUAGUUUGGGAAUGCUGCUCUAAAUGGGAGGUAAAUUUCUUCUAAAGCUAAAUACCGGCCAGAGACCGAUAGCGCACAAGUAGAGUGAUCGAAAGAUGAAAAGCACUUUGAAAAGAGGGUUAAAUAGCACGUGAAAUUGUUGAAAGGGAAGGAUUUAUGACCAGACUUUUUCUAGGCGAAUCAUCCGGUGUUCUCACCGGUGCACUUCGUUUAGUUUAGGCCAGCAUCGAUUUUCGGGGUGGGAUAAAAGCUUUAGGAAUGUAGCUCCCUCGGGAGUGUUAUAACCUAUUGUAUAAUACCGCCCUGGGGAUCGAGGUACGCGCUUCUGCAAGGAUGCUGGCGUAAUGGUUAUCAAUCACCCGUCUUGAAACACGGACCAAGGAGUCGAACAUUUGUGCAAGUGUUUGGGUGUUAAACCCUCACGCGUAAUGAAAGUGAACGGAGGUGAGAGCCCUUACGGGUGCAUCAUCGACCGAUCCUGAUGUCUUCGGAUGGAUUUGAGUAAGAGCAUAACUGUUCGGACCCGAAAGAUGGUGAACUAUGCGUGGAUAGGGUGAAGCCAGAGGAAACUCUGGUGGAGGCUCGCAGCGGUUCUGACGUGCAAAUCGAUCGUCAAAUCUGCGCAUGGGGGCGAAAGACUAAUCGAACC